GGGCUCGCUUUGGCAGCACAUUUACUAAAAUUGGGACAAUAAGAGAAGAUUAGCAUGGCCCCUGCGCAACGGUGACAUGCAAAUUCAUGGAGCGUUCCAUAUUUUU